rnacentral:rRNA from 1 species
UACGUAGGGGGCAAGCGUUAUCCGGAUUUACUGGGUGUAAAGGGAGCGUAGACGGCGAAGCAAGUCUGAAGUGAAAAUCCGGGGCUCAACUCCGGAAGUGCUUUGGAAACUGUUUUGAUAGAGUGUCGGAGAGGUAAGUGGAAUUCCUAGUGUAGCGGUGAAAUGCGUAGAUAUUAGGAGGAACACCAGUGGCGAAGGCGGCUUACUGGACUGUAACUGACGUUGAGGCUCGAAAGUGUGGGGAGCAAACAGG